rnacentral:rRNA from 1 species
AUCAGCCUUUUGGGUGUGAUUAUGUGGAGCGUGAGGAGUUAAACGCCUUCAUGCCUGCAUAUUCGUGCACUUUGGGUGUACUUGCCCGUGUGGUUGGUUAACAUCAAUUUUGGUUAUCAAAAAAUGACUGGAGGAAUGUAGCUUCGAUCUCGUAUUGAAGUGUUAUAGCCUUCGGUAGAUGUGAUGAUCGAGAUUGAGGAUUGCAACGGAUACCCUUCGGGGCUACCUGUCUGGUCUCUGAUCGUUGCUCUGGUGCCGAAAGCUUGCUUACGGUUAUCAAAGUCGAUGGUCAAUAGGUUAGAACGGGUUAAAUUCGUUAAGGAUGUUGACGUAAUGGCUUU